rnacentral:rRNA from 1 species
GAUGAACGCUGGCGGCGUGCCUAAUACAUGCAAGUCGAGCGAACGGACGAGAAGCUUGCUUCUCUGAUGUUAGCGGCGGACGGGUGAGUAACACGUGGAUAACCUACCUAUAAGACUGGGAUAACUUCGGGAAACCGUAGCUAAUACCGGAUAAUAUUUUGAACCGCAUGGUUCAAAAGUGAAAGACGGUCUUGCUGUCACUUAUAGAUGGAUCCGCGCUGCAUUAGCUAGUUGGUAAGGUAACGGCUUACCAAGGCAACGAUGCAUAGCCGACCUGAGAGGGUGAUCGGCCACACUGGAACUGAGACACGGUCCAGACUCCUACGGGAGGCAGCAGUAGGGAAUCUUCCGCAAUGGGCGAAAGCCUGACGGAGCAACGCCGCGUGAGUGAUGAAGGUCUUCGGAUCGUAAAACUCUGUUAUUAGGGAAGAACAUAUGUGUAAGUAACUGUGCACAUCUUGACGUUACCUAAUCAGAAAGCCACGGCUAACUACGUG